UCUGGUGAAAACCACCCCUUCACUCAAAUGACCGUGCACAAUGCUAGUCCGGAUGUCCAGCAGUUUCAUAAAAUAAAAAAUAAAAUAAAAUUCAGAGGUAUUUGAAGUAACAGCUUUGACCGAAGCUGUAUUCUCAUUCCCCAAUGGCAGGAAUUCAAUUCUGGGUGAUAGAUACCUUGGCAAGUGAUGAUCUUGGGUCCACAGCAGAACUUGAAAAAUGCAAAACUAGAGGAGAGAAGCCCCGGAGUCCUGUUCCUGUGGAUUAUCGAAAUGUCAGAGGAAAACUAGACAUGUAUCCAGUACUAGGAAAGGCAACAGAUGAACUUCCACUAGGGCAGAAAAAUUAGAAUGGUGAGGAAGGAGAUCCAAAAGAAACUGUUCAGCCCUUUCAAAUGAGCAACCUGACAGCCUUGGUUUGCUGGAAAAAGAAUUCACCGCUGCAGUGAGAAGAAGCACAGAAAUUCAGCGCAGUAAACCUUUGAGCUAUUUUCCACAGAGGAACUCUGUGGCACUCCUACCUGUAGUCGGAAGCUAGCGCAGUCCUCGUUCUGUGUAGACCAUAUCUUGGAGAGACCCCACCUCUUGC